CAGCGCCACAAGUGGCAAUCGCGAUUAUUGGGCCUAAAGCGUCCGUAGCCGGUCGAGUAAAUCCUUUGUGAAAUGGUCACGCCUAACGUGACCGAUGGCAGGGGACACUACUUGACUUGAGACCGGGAGGAGCUAGAAGUAUUCUAGGGGGAUCGGUAAAAUGAAUUAAUCCCUGGAAGACUACCGAUGGCGAAGGCAUCUAGCCAGAACGGAUCUGACGGUGAGGGACGAAAGCUAGGGGAGCGAACCGGAUUAGAGACCCGAGUAGUCC
rnacentral:rRNA from 1 species